GGCUGAGAGCCUGCGAGUUCCCCUCUGGGCCUCCCAGCUUCUUUUAGUUAAGGAGUCCUCGAGGCCUAGCGUGCUGGUUACCAGAGCUUCUAGAAGCGGCUUGCCGGCUCCUGGCAUUUUCCGGGCCAGACUGGUUCUGAGGACGCGUCAGGGAGACCCGUUGGACCCAGGUCUAGCGUUGCCUUCGUUCGGCCAGCGCCCGGGAGCUCGACUCCAGAUUCCCUGGGGCUGGAGAAGCCGUUGUUUCGUCCGUCGGGGCCAGAGGUGCAGAUGACUAAGGGGUUGUUUUUCGUCCAGAAUUCUACAGUUUGUUGUCCUUACGAGGAGUCUCCUGAUUUGGCCUUAUGGGGGAUUUGCUACUCCUGGGAUCUAGGACCUGUAUCUCUAGAAUUACAGAAACGGUCACCACAGAGCAUCGAGUAGAGUUCCGUGUGCUAUACAGAUUCUUUUGUGAUUUAUAUUUAAUGAGCGUGUCAACUUCAAGAUUAAUCAUGAAAAUUUUGAUUUGGAAGAGACCCUUUGUUUGGAAUAUGUUUGCCCUAGAUAUCUUCAUGGCUUAUUCUUUACCAAAAUGGAUUCUGUGGGACUGCCCUUUUAUUUUGUUAUAAUUGGUCCACUUUCUGGUUUUUUCCUUUCCCUUCAUUUGGAAGAGCUGUUAGAAAUGUUUACAGUACACUUACUCCUCACAAAAGCCCUGUGAAGUAGACAUUAUUAACUCCUUUUUAAGGAUGCUGCUAAUAAAAGCCAGAAUGUGUUAUGAAGGUACAACCCAAGCUGCAACUUCACUCUUCAGCAGCAGGAACUACUCUCUAAUGUAUGAUGUACUCCAGAUUGAAAAUUCCUCAAGUGAAAUGCUUGAGAUUAAGUAAGGUGUCCUUAUAAGAAGAGGAACAGACGCCAAGGAUGCAUGUACACAGAGAAGAGACCAUGUAAGGACACAUUGAAAAGGUGGCCAUCUGCAGGCCAAGAAAAGAGGCCUUAGGAGGAACCAAACCUGCUGACACUUUGAUCUUGGAUUUCUAGCACCUAGAACUAUGAGAAAAUAAAUUUCUGUUGUCUGAGCCACCCACCGCCAUCUCCAGGGAAUAGCUGGGUGAAUGUAUUUGCAAGUUAUCCCUCUGUAAUUCUAGAGAGAAAGAGAUGGAACUGCAGCUAACCAGGCCUUCCAUCCAGGUACUGCCUCAUUGGUCUAAGUAUGGGCAGCUGACCCAAGUGGAGCUGUUCUGGGAAUAUAUUCAAUAGAAUCAGACUGAGGGAUUGAGCUUCAGUCUAGUUACUCUCUUGAGUGAAAGAGACUUUUAAAGGUAGGAGCUCUUGGCAACCAUAUUCUGCCCUAUAGACUAAAACAAGAGAGAGUAAAUUAGAGAGCAAAGAGAAUAAAGUAGAAAUGAGAGACAAAGAAUGGAAUUUAAGUUCUUGGAUCCAGCUGUUAUUGAAGCCACACUGCACUUUCUGUCCUUGGUUUCAUGAGACAUCCUAAUACCCUUCUAAUAAAUUCCUUCUUUUAGCUUAGGCUUCAGUUGGUUUUGUUUUCUGUUAUAGGCAACUAAAAGUGUUCUAAUUGGUACAGUCACCAGUUUGUUUCACAGGAUAGUGGAAGAGCUCUUUCUCAUAUAUAUGAUUUUUUAUUAGAUACUUUUUUUAUUGUGGUAAAAAAUGUAAUAUGAAACUUACUAUCUUAACCAUUUUAAGUGUACGG